rnacentral:misc_RNA from 1 species
CAGCUUGCUAACUUUGGUAGACGGAAGUACUUGCUCAUAUGCUAUGGAAAAACCAGCUAACAACGCGUAUCAAACUUCCUGUACGGACAUCUUCGACUUCAACAAGAUGUCGAAAGUUAGGAAAGUGUUAGAAGAUGCAAAGGAACAUAAUAUCACCGAAAUCGAUUUGGUUGACAAAAGCAUUGCUUCGUUUGAGGACAUGCCAGGAUUGUGGUCAAUGUACAAUGUGACUAGGUUAACACUGAGCCACAACAAGAUUAAAAGUGUUCCUCCGAGCAUAGCUAACCUCGUCAACCUGGAAGUCCUCACGUUGUUCAACAAUCAUAUAGAGGAAUUGCCCACUUCAAUUUCAUCUCUCCCAAAAUUAAAAAUUCUUAAUUUGGGGAUGAAUAGGCUGAACUCACUUCCUAGAGGAUUUGGUGCUUUCCCCCAACUUGAGGUGCUUGACUUAACCUAUAAUAAUUUAAAUGAAAAAACUCUACCCGGCAACUUCUUUAUGCUAGAAACCCUGAGGGCCCUUUAUUUUGGAGACAAUGACUUUGAGAAAAUUCCAGCAGAAAUUGGUAACUUGAAAAAUUUGCAAAUAUUGUGUUUCAGAGAAAAUGACUUGAUUAGUCUACCGAAAGAAAUUGGUCAGUUAACACGUCUACGAGAAUUACACAUACAAGGAAAUGCUCUCACUCUUCUUCCUCCCGAGAUGGGAAACAUUGACUUGAUUAGUCAACGAUGUGUUGUCAGAAUGGAUAACAAUGAAUGGCUUCCUCCAAUAGCAGACCAACUAGCAAUUGGUGUGUCCCAUGUGAUAGAGUUCAUCCGGACAGACACCUAUAAAUUUAUUUACGAUCGGAAUGCACAACAGGGAAAUUCUGCACCCCGGAAGCCUAAAGAUAAAUCGAAGAAAAUCAGCUGCAAACGGGAUCAUAACUAGUUAUUUUGAGGAGUAGUACUACUAUAAUGAUGAUUCUUGCUUGUAUCAUUUAACAAAGAAAUAUCAUGACUCUAAAUGGAAUUAUUUAUUUAAUGUGUUACAUGUGUUGUAUCAGUAUGUUUUAAAUUUUUCCACAGAAAUUUUUCUGCUUUUAAAUAUACAUUCAUGUGUUGAGUAGGUUGAGUUUAUUUUUAAUAAAGAUAAUCUGUUUCUGAGGUGAUAACCUGAUGAGAGGAUAACAGAAUAUCAAGAGGUUAGGAGAUGUUAUCGAAGAUAAUGAAUUUCCAAGCAUUGUCAAAAUAUAUGUGAACUUCUAACAAACAAAAAAAUUUAAGUCCACAAAAACAUUUUAAAGUCUUGCUUCAUUUAACAGUUUUUGUAUAAAGUUCUGCCAUCAUUGUUUUAAAGUAACUUACGUUGUUAUUUGUAGUAUGUUGUUUUAUUGUUUGCUGAAAAUGUGAAUACGGUUGAUAGUUGUUUAGGCAUUACUUUUUUUUUAUGGGUGCUGUUACUGUUCAACGUGUUUGAUGCUAAUCGUGAUGCCUUCAUUACGAUGCAACUGUUUGACACAUGCUUUUUUUUUUGUCAGGUAUAUUAAUAACAUUAAAACUAAUGAUAGUUUUAAGAAAGGUGUGAUAUUAACAAUUACAGAUUGCUGGAUUUUAUCCAGUGCCGUAGAUAACAGAACCUCGUGUGUGUUUGAGAAAAUAUUUAACGAUAUAUAUAUACCACUUGUAAGUUUUACAGUUUCCUAAUUUAACUGUAAAUGUAUUUCAUGUGAAAAAUUACAUGACUUUAUUUCUUUUCAUUGCUCUAAACUAUUCAUAAAUAAGACCUAAGAUAUUAAGAGUAAAAAAUGAAAAUGAGAUAUUAUUGGCACAAUGCAAAAUUCUCUGUUAGUUAUUUCAGAUCACAUUUUCUUCCAUUUUACAAAAAAAUAAAGUUUUUACCAGAGGCAUCGCUAGGUGCUUCAAAAGAUUCAGGGAUUGGGCCCAUAGGUGCAGGAGUUAUUCAUGGAUUGGGCCCAUAGGUGCAGGAGUUAUUCAGGGAUUGGGCCCAUAGGUGCAGGAGUUAUUAGCAUUUCAGUAUAAUAUCAAUCAUGGUUUUCUGUUCUGAUUUUUCAAGACACCAACUGGGGGAUUUGGAGCAGUGUCAAAUAGAAUUAGGGCACGGGCUCCAUGUGCCAGUACCCAGUGAUGCCUCUGGUUUUUACUCUUAACUUACAGUAGCAUAAUUCACCUGAAAAGAAAUUAAGACCUAUGUAGUUUAAUGAGCAAACACCAUGUAUUUACCCAAAAAUAUGUACCCAUUUAUCGUUGUGUACCCAUGAAACAUCUUCAUGUCAUAUCCCUUUUUUGUGUGUAUGUGUGUAUUACACUGUUAAAAAUGAAUAUAUGCUCAAAAAAUGUUGACUUUCUUGAUCUACAGUAUUAAUGUGGAACAUGUGAACAACUUGUGAUUUCUCUUGUACUUUUCUCAGGGUUAUAUGUAGAUUUCUCGUGUAUCAUGCAGAAUUCUGUUUUUUCUUGUACGUUUUUUCCUUUUUAUCACUGUCUCGGAUUUUCCUGUUUCUGUGCUUUACGUGUUUCCUAGUUUUCACUAUAUUAACAGAAGUUUUAAGUAUAAAAUUUCCAUAGUACUGAAUAUAUGUUCUUAGUUCAUGUGUGACAUAGGCUUGAUAUUGCUUUGCCGAUAUUUGACCAAUUCCCUUUUCAGUUUUUUUCAUGUAGUUUUUCCGAAAUUUGUCAGAUAGACAGUAAGUCGCUAGAAGUAAAACCAUUGUGGUCUGUCCUUGUGACUUAUUGGAAUUUAAUUUUUCUAAAUGUUUCAAGAUUAAAAUCGAAAUAUAAAGAAUUGAGUAAAGACAUGUUAUUUAAGCUCUAUAUAUAUCUAACAUCUGGUUUCUUGUAACAUCUGUUGCAUAGAAUUUUUGCAUUUGGGGUCCUAAGAGAUUCUUAUUAUGUUAUUUUUGAGAAAUCAGUAUAUUUUAGGAUUUUUUUAAUUUUUGUUUUAAUGAUAUGACUUAUCAAUAUUUCCAGAAGAGUAGAAUUUAAUCUUGUACAAAUAGAUGGUCUGGUUCAAUGAAAACAUCAAUC